rnacentral:rRNA from 1 species
CCGUUGCCGGCGACCGGCGCACGGGUGGAGUAACACGUAUGNAACCUGCCCGUGGCAGGGGGAUAAGCGGGGGAAACCCCGUCUAAUACCGCGUAACGCGGCCUUGGGGCAUCCCAAGGCCGCCAAGGGAGCAAUCCCGGCCACGGAUGGGCAUGCGGCGCAUUAGCUAGUCGGCGGGGUAACGGCCCACCGAGGCGACGAUGCGUAGGGGUUCUGAGAGGAAGGCCCCCCACACUGGUACUGAGACACGGACCAGACUCCUACGGGAGGCAGCAG